GGGGGCGAAACGGAUUCGACGGGGAUAGCGAAGCUUGUUGUUGCGUGCCGAGCGUCUGUCAGCUCGUAAAUCCGGCAGAGGCA
rnacentral:tmRNA from 1 species